rnacentral:rRNA from 1 species
GAGAGUUAAACAGUACGUGAAAUUGUUGAAAGGGAAACGAUUGAAGUCAGUCGUGCUGGCGCGAAAUCAGCUCGACCACUCGGGGAUCAUGGGCCGUAGCGAGCCUCAAAACCGCUACGACUCGUGAUUUCUUAGUGGCCUGGUGCACUUUCGUGUCGGCUGGUUAACAUCAAUUUCGAUCGUCAUAAAAAGGCUGGAGGGAUGUGGCUCCUUCGGGAGUGUUAUAACCUUUAGCGGAAUGUGGUGGUCGGGAUUGAGGCUUGCAACGAAUACCUUCAGGGCUGUUCCACCUGGCCUCUCAUCGGAAUUCUGGCGGCGACAGCUUGCUGACGUUGUUAGGAUCGGCCUUCGAACAGGCUAGAGUGUGAGCAAAUUCGUUAAGGAUGUUAACGUAAUGGCUUUAAACGA